GAACGUUAUACUGAAAGAGGAAAACAAAAUGGCUCUAUGGGUAUACUUUCCCACUACUGUAAAAGGCAUUUGCUAUUGACUAUUUAGUCAAGCCGAAUGAGAUGCCAGUCACUUUGAGUUCCUUCUCCUAGUGCUACCGUAGCAUUUUCUGGACAAUGGUGUAUUAUCAGAGAGCUCUAUGGUUAAGUAUUUCCAUUUUGCAGGUAAGAACACGAACAUCUCAAGAUUCAACAAAGCUAAAUUGCUAGAUCAGCUUCUGUGAGUGGCUACCUGGUGAUUUCAAUCACUUGCCAGGGUUAAAGUGCCUGUGAUUUCACUACAGAAUGCAUCUAUUUUGGAGCAUUCUAUUUAGAACCAAGUAAACAGUUCUAGGUGGUAGGAGUUUUCCACACCCCUCAAUCGGCUGUGGAGGAGCUGGCAGUCUCAGCUCUCCCACUCAAUUGUUCUGAGUCAGGAGGAAGGAGCUGCAAACAGGGGUCUCCGCAUCUUUCUGGCUCUUGGCAUCAGAAAAGGAGGAGCUGCUGGCCAGUGCUUUGAGCUUCUGUUCCAGGCCUGAGAAUGAAAGCACAUACUAGGUCACCUUUCACCCAGUCCUAGUGGGUCAGAGCAGGGGACAGUCACCUUCCAGGAGAGCCUGACAGCUAGAAGUGAUACCCAGAGGACUUCCUUAAUGGCCUGGAGGAUCUUCUCUACUUAGGAGUCACAGGAUCUUACUCGACGGAUAAGAUAAGAAAACAUAGUUAUUUUAUGGCCACCCUCUGCUACUGAAAUUUGAGAAAUGCGGGUGCUUAAAGGAUCUGGCCAGAUUUUUUCUAGAUAAGAUUUUGAGUUUCCUUUGCCCUGAUUCAGCAUUUCUUGUGUUGACGUGAUUGUGCGGGCUUCUUCCUUGUUCUCUUUACCUCUCCCAUCUGAGUUCCAUCAAAAUGAAAUCCCAGGGUCCACGCUCAGAAGCUGGCCAUGGGCUCACAGAUGUGUGGUUGUUUUGUGCUCUUGUUUUGCUUUGGAAUCACUUCACAUGCUAACUCACCUGAAUCCCCAGUUAAUGUGAGUAACUGUCAUGCCAUUUCAAAACUUUGUAAAAAGACAGAAAUGAAAGCCCCCAAACCAUGUUAAGAUCACACAAAGCAUCUCUCAUCCCAGCCACUUUGAAAAAAUAAAAUAAAAUUGUACAUUUCUGAGGCAUAGCAGUGGAGUACUUACAUAGUUCUCAUAAAUGGACACAAGUCCUUUACACUUUUUCAUUUUCUUGAUUUUGAUUUUUUUUUUUGAAAUAGGGUCUUAUUGUAGCCCAGGCUGGCCUUCAGGUCACCAUGUAGCCCAGCCUGCAUUACAGCUCACAGGAAAGCCCACACAUGACUCCUUAAGGUUUAUUUUAUUUCGUUUUUUUAUUAAUGGUGUGUGUGUAAGAUAUAAUGAUAUAUGUACCAUGGAGCAUAUGUGGAGGUCACAGGAUGCCUUGGCGGAGUGCUUCACCUUUACAUGGGUUCCAGGGAUCUACCUCACAUUAUCUGGUUUUCAGGACAAGUGUCCUCAUGCACUGAGCCAGCCCACCAGCCUGCAUAUGACUUUAUGUUCCUUUUAUUGAACACACCUUAAUAUGUAAUAGGCAGUUCUCUGGAGAAUCCCUGUA